rnacentral:rRNA from 1 species
UACGGAGGGGGCGAGCGUUAUUCGGAAUUAUUGGGCGUAAAGGGCGCGUAGGCGGCUUGACAAGUCAAAGGUGAAAUCCCUCGGCUCAACUGAGGAACUGCCUUUGAAACUGUCUGGCUUGAGGCCGAGAGGGGGUAGCGGAAUUCCCAGUGUAGCGGUGAAAUGCGUAGAUACUGGGAGGAACACCAAUGGCGAAGGCAGCUCUCUGGGACGGUACUGACGCUGAGACGCGAAAGCGUGGGGAGCGAACAGG